CCAAUAGCGUAUAUUAAAGUUGCUGCAGUUAAAAAGCUCGUAGUUGAAUUUCGGGACCAUCAUGGCGGUCGUGCCUCGGUACGUACUGGCAUUGUUGGUUUCUCCCUUCUGACGAACCAUGAUGUCAUUAAUUUGGUGUCUUGGGGAAUCAGGACUGUUACUUUGAAAAAAUUAGAGUGUUCACAGCAGGCUCACGCUUGGAUACAUUAGCAUGGAAUAAUGAAAUAGGACGUUUGAUUCUAUUUUGUUGGUUUCUAGGAUCGACGUAAUGAUUAAUAGGGAUAGUUGGGGGCAUUAGUAUUCAAUUGUCAGAGGUGAAAUUCUUGGACUUAUUGAAGACUAACUACUGCGAAAGCAUUUGCCAAGGAUGUUUUCAUUAAUCAAGAACAAAAGUUAGGGGAUCGAAGACGAUCAGAUACCGUCGUAGUCUUAACCAUAAACUAUGCCGACUAGGGAUCGGAUGAUGUUAAUUUUUUAAUGACUCAUUCGGCGCCUUACG
rnacentral:rRNA from 1 species